rnacentral:lncRNA from 1 species
AUAUACUGAUAUAGUACCAUACAUAUACUGAUACACUGCACUUCAUGCCGGUGCCGCUGCACUUCUGUUCCUCUCCCCCACUUUGCUCUCUCGCGCUUGCUACUUCUCUUUGUAACACAAAUUUAUGCUAGCUCAAAUGUCAGUAGAACAAGAGCUGGCGGCAGACGCUGCUUGGCUGGCUUGGGACGCGAGUCCUCACGCUGCUGACUGCUCGUUGACCGGCUUGGCAACGCUGCUCACACGUCAGCUGCAGCCAGCUAUUACUUGAGAGAAACGACUAUGCCUCAUAAUCUAUCAGCUGCGCUUCAAAUGUCCGACCGAGAAGUCUCGGCGGUCGCCGGCGUCAACAACGCCAUUCAACAUCGUGUUCUGUCAACAUCACCCUCGCCCCGCACGCCAGAGUCCGCAGGUUAGUCUGCAGGUUAGUCCGCAGGUUGAAUGACGAUGGGAUGCGUUGAACCUAGUGGUACCUCGCAAGCCAGUGUGCAUGGUUCAUCUUCUCGCGCUGUGUUGGGUUGUUUGGUGGAGCCCCCGCCUACAACUAGUGACUGUCUGCUGCCUCCCUUACCAGCGCUCGCUGUAAGGUGUUUUUAUGGCUCCCUUGCCACGGUGCCUUGUGUCUCACAUACCACCCCGCCCCCCUCCGCACGCACACACCCUGCCCCGCGACAGCUUGCUGCCCAACCCCUGUUGUACCCUAUGGACCGUAUGGUUGGCUGGACUGCCCCUACACCUCCAGCAUUGUGCUCAUCAACGGUGAGUGUCCGUGACACGUGUGGGCGCGCACACAUGCACAUGUGCACACAGACACGCCUUGUGUGGUAGGCCCCGUGCACUGCCAAGCACUCUGUCCAUGGCUGGCCUUGACAUGCAUUGGCACCUACCCGUCUUGUGGCAGACGAUUAACUGGGUGUGUCUAUGUGUGUGCACGCAUGCAUGCAGUCGCUGCCGGUGGAAGCAAAACUACAGGAGCCAGCGUGACACCAGCUGUCUGGCGCUAGAGAUGGAGGCGGGCGCGGCGGCGCCAGUGGCAUAGUUUGGCAUGGUAGCUGUGGUGGCGGCGGGCGUCAAGGUGGUGGGUCAGAGACGUUGUGCCCAGCAGACAUGCAAGUGGUUGCUGCCAGUGGCUAGUUGCACGUUCACAUGCAGACAUGACUAGGCGUAUUGUUGCAUGUACAUAUGGACUUGCGGUAGUGUUGCAUAAGUGUUGCAUGAGCAUCUGCACUUGUCGUGCUAUCAAGCCUUGACAGAUGGCUAGCAUGUGGAGUAGCGGUAGGACUACAUAGUUCUUACGUUAGUACUGAGGUAGGCCUUCAGCAAAGCACAAGGCUGCCAUGUAACGGGCGUCAAAGUGAUGGUUACUGGUGUGCCUUGUAGACCGUGACAAGGCUGUUACCAUGGCUGGUUAAGAUGGUAAGCAGAUCGUAGUGAGAUCGUAACGAUGCCGGAGGGGUAACGAUCUACGACCUAGGUAACAGCGAUCGUAACGAUCGUUUGGGUGCCAUAGGGCAUAUCACCUGCAUACACAGCACCACCGGCGUUGCAAGAGGCAUGGUGACAAGCCUUUCCCCGAGAUACAUGCUGUAUCUCACAUGCUGUAUACAUGCCCUGUCCGUUGAGCUGCCCACUGCACACAUGUCUUGGUGCUCCUUUUCAUGUGGAUUGCAUCACGAAAUCUGACUUACCACCAAAAUGCAAAAGCGCCAUUGCCAGCAGCACAUGCACCGAUGAGACGAAGGUUGACAUGAGAAUAAGGCGGCCGGGGAAUUGCAAGCAGAUAUUUGCAUGCAUAAGCAAUUGCAAACUAUUAGGACCCCGUGCGAAAGCGCAGGCAGGGCAGACGAAUGGUUGUUGACCGCGACAGGAAAACACUGCUGUAGACGUUUUGAGCUGAUACAAUGCGAGUUCUCAGUCAGAAACUUACAUUCUUGGGCCUUGA